UUUGGGUCUUCUCUUUUUUAAUUAGAUUUUUUAGUUUUGUUUUUCUCUUUUGGGGGAUGGGGGUGGUGGUGAGGGUUCUCUUUUAACUCCAGUGUGUUUAUCAGCGUAAUGAGCCUCUUCGUGGUAUUUCCUCCUCUUAGAACAAUGACGUUGGCUUUUUCUUGCUUACGGGUUUAAUCCCAUCCACAUGCCCCUCAUUUAUUGCAAUAGGAGUGCCGAACGUCUCAGCCAAAGGCAAGCGCCUCUUGUGUGUCUGCAGCCUGUUGGGGCCUGGUGAGCACCACCUCGUCAGAAACUGCUUCUGGGUGACUGGGAGGGCAGCCUCUGACCUCUGGGGUGCGCUGGAAAGGUACCUAGAGACGGGUAUUUCACUGCAGGCGACCGGGGACUUGACAGACUGGAGAGCCAGGGUACGACUCACAUCUCUGGAGGGGUUGCUGUGGUGUAGGGUCCAGGUCCCCGUUCUAGGACCAGGAAAUUUCAUGCCCACAAGCUGCCAGAAGUGAGGCGUCACAGUACAGUCCUGCCCUGGAAGUAGUUUCUGCCAAAGCAAGCUAUCUCACCAAGGGCUCCGUGACUCAUCCAUGCAGAAGUCCAAAGGCCCCGCUCCCUCACCUCAGAUAGAGACAACUCCAAGGGGCUGUUUGAGCCCCGAGCUCCUGGUGGGAUCAGCUGUGUCCCACUUGCUUUCUUCUGUCCGUCCACUCUGCUUCCCGCCUACCCAGUUCCUAGGAGCACCUCCUACCAGCCCUCUGGUGCAUCCCCCAGUAUCUGUUUCUCAAGGAGCCAACCACGGACCACCUUCAGCAAGUUUCUUUAUUGGGUCAGUUUUAUAAUUUCCACAGGACUGUGGCCAGAAUAUCCUGAAUGGCUUUUGAAUUCUUUACUGGUUCAUGUGAGUUCCAGCGUGCUUUUCUGAGAAGGAGUUUGCAGUGACAGGUACCAGGUGGCUAAACAUGGUUAUUGUUUGAAUUUAAAGCAGUAGGCAACUCUGUUGAAAGCAGCCCUUGUUAGGUUCCUAAGUCAGCAUGGAAGGAAGGGAUCAUGGAAUAAAAGUCCCAUGUAUCAGAGAAGGGGGAAGGAUACAUUAGGGGUUUGGGAUUAGGGGACACACACUACCAUGUAUAAAGUAGAUAACCACUAAGGGCCUACUGUAUAGCAUGAGGAACUAUAUUCAACAUUUUGUAAUAACCUAUAAAAGAAAAGGGGGCUUCUCAGGUGGUGUAGUGAUUAAGAAUCCACCUGCCAAUGCAGAAGAUGCAGGUUCAAUGCCUAGGUCCGUAGGAUUCCCUGGAGUGGGAAAUGGCAACCCACUCCAGUAUUCUUGCUUGGAAAAUUCCAUGGACAGAGGAGCCUGGUGGGCUACAGUCCAUGGGGUUGCAAAGAGUUGGACAAUGACUGAGCAACUGAGCAAGCACGAAGCUAAGGGAAAAGAAUCUGAAAAAAUAUAUAUGUGUGUGUGUGUGUGUGUGUGUGUGUGUGUGUGUGUGUGUACAACUGAACCACUUUUCUGUACACUUGAAAUUUACACAACCUUGCAAAUACUAUACUUUAAUAUUACUACUAAUAAUAUUGAAAGUCCAUGUAUCAUUUCACAGUUACAGAUCUCAGGGGAUUUCUGUCUGGGUUUCAUGAGAGCAAAGGUGUGUGUAUGUGUGUCUGAAACAGCAAGAGAAGGAGAGAAGGGGAAGAAUGUAAAUUAUUUGCAACACGUCUAUUACAUUGGGUUCGAUGUUGAGACUUUAGAAAUAUGACAAGAUCCUUAUUUUGAAGAUUAAGAAGCUAUCUCUGUCAUUAUUCAAUAGUAAUGUAAGUGUUCAGUUGUGGGGUCAGAAUUCAGACUUCAACUUGACUCCAGUACUGUUGGCCUUUACAGAAGACCUGCUGAUUCCUCUCAGUUGUGUUUCUCUAUAUGCUGUGCUUAGUUGCUCAGUCAUGUUUGACCCUUUGUGACCUUGUGGACUAUAGCACCCCCAGGUUCCUCUGUCCAUGGAGAUUCUCCAGGCAGGAAUACUGGAGUGGGUUGCCAUGCCCUCCUCCAGGGGAUCUUUCCAACCCAGGGAUUGAAUCUGCAUUGCAGGUAGAUUCUUUACCAUCUGAGCUACCAGGGAAGCCCAUGUUUCUCUGUAACAUAUUAUAAAGAAAAGCCUCUAUAACAAAAUGCAUCAAAUGAAAACUAAAAUUGCACUCAGGAUGCUUGAUUUGAGGUCAUAAAAAUGUGCAAAAAUCCAUGUUACCCCUUGUUGAAAAGGUCUUCGUGUGGGACUGAGUGAUAGCUGGACUUUCUGGAAGCCGCUAGGUGAUGGGAUGAGCUGCCAAGUAGAAUUUUAACUUCCGCUUGGAAUGCCGCCUCUCACAGACUUAAAUCCUGGAUCCUUGCUGCCAGGCAAGUAUAUCUGUGGUGCUUUAUAUUCUAUUACCCCAUAAUAUACAAUGCGUUUUAUUUAUGUUAGUCAUCUUUUAUACAGAACUGUCACAAAACACGUCACUGUUGAUUACAGCCCACGUGGGCCAGCCACACUGGUGAAUUACGCCCCUUCCCAUCCAUCAUGCCAGUGGUACCUGGCUGGGAAGAGAGGGGGAUAAAUCCAAAACAAUGAUGGAUGCACUUUAAGAGGUUAAAAGAUGACUGGGUAGGGAGACAAACCUACAUUAAAAAUACCUACAGGUACUGUCUUUUAUCUUCUAACAUUUUAUCUCCAUCUUCAUCUCCUUAGAACGUGUUUUGUCCAGCUGCUAUGAACCUGACAUGUGGACAUGACCCUACUCAUCUCUAUAAUUCUCUUUGUCUUGAAGUUGUCUUUGUCUGAGUCAAUAGAAACACCCUAGCUUUCUUAGGAUUAGUGUUUCAUGGAUAUCUUUUUCUAUAUUUUUACUUCCAAUCUGUCUGUAUAUUUGUAUUUAAAGUGAAUCUCUUGGCACUUCCUUGGCAGUCCAAUGGUUAGGACUUGGUGCUUUUACUGCAUGGGCCCAAGUUCAGUCCCUGGUCAGGGAACUAAGAUCCACAAGCUGCAUGGUGUGGCCAAAAAAAAAGUAAACUGAUAUCUCUUAUAAACAGUAUUUAUUUAAUCAGAUUUUGCUUUUAAUAAAAGCCAGUAUAAUACUUUGCCCCUCUUCCCCAUAACAUCUUUUUGGAAGUCUUAGAAUGUUCCUUUAUCUCCUAAACUCUGUAGAAUCUCUCAUUAACAUAUUUUAAAGUGGCCCUAUAUUAUAUGUAUGUGAAAGUGUUAGUUGCUCAGUUGUGUCUGACUCUUUGCAACCCAUGGACUGUAGCCCAUCAGGCUCCUCUGUCCAUGGAAUUCUCCAGGCAGGAAUACUGUAGGGUGCAGCCAUUCCCUUCUUCAGGCGAUCAUCCCAACCCACGGAUCGAACCUGGGUCUCCUGAACUGGAGGCAGAUUCUUUACCCUCUGAGCCACCAGUGAAGGCCAAGUAUAAAUAAUAUAAAUGUGUCUAAAUACUGUCUUAGUGCCAGGUGGCACUAGUGGGUUCUUUACCACUAGCGCUACCUGGGAAGCCCAUAACCCAGUGAUGGUGGUUAUUAGGAUUUGUUGAAAGAUUAGGGAGAGGCGAUAGCAGGGAGAACACAGUCUGAGGGUUGACUUAGGCCAAGUCAAAGAGAACCUUAUCAAACAUAUUAAGCAGUUUGCCCUUAAUCCUGGGAGUAACAGGGAGCUGUUAAGGGGAUUUACGUAGAAGAGUGACAAGGGGGAUCCUUAGUCUAAAAUGAUCACUCUGCCUUCUUUGGAGAGAAAUGAAGGUUAGGUUGGAUCUUUUGAGUGGAGUUGGUGAGAGCCGAGAGCAACCUCGUUUCUGACAGUGAUGAUAGGAAGAGAGAUGAGUGAUAAAUUGGGGAUGGUAUAAUUUUUAAAAAGAGAUGAUAUUUUAUGUGUAUAGGAAAGGCUCAUGGUGUCAGGUUUGGGCAGUCAGAGGAGUGUGGAGAGGUUCACAGCAUGAGGACAUAGGAAAAGGGACAGGUGUGGAGAGGGGAUGAUACCAUUUGCAGGUGAGGUGCUCAUGAGACUUUCGAGUCGUGUUAGCCACUUAGGCCACUGGUUACACGGUUGCAGGGCUCAAGAUCUAGAAAAAAAACCAUUACUAUUUUACAAAGUAAUUAAAGGGAUGAGGUGGAUGGAUUCACACGGGGAGAGUGGGAAAACAAGAGAGGCAACUGAUCUUGGGACCUAGAAAUCAUACUUGUUAUACGAUAAAUAGAUGAGCAACGGGUGGCAGAGGGCAAACUGAAAAUAGGGCAAUAUUUUUAGGUUCACAUCUUUACUACAGUAUAAAUAACAUUUUCAACAGCAAUUUAAAAAAAAAUAGAAAAAUCACUCACUGUCCCAAGAUCUUAAUUGUUUCCGCAUUCCUUUGCAGAUCUCAUUCAUAUGUAUUCACGGUUUUUACACACUUUUAAUCAGAGUGUGGAUUUAGUGCCUCAUUCUAGUCCUUUUCAUUAAUCUAUUAUCAGCAUUUUUCACGUCACUUUGGAGGUUUCAUUUAUGAACAGUGGCUUUGAACCAUGACAGUGCCUUUAAGAGAGUGCAACUACUCCACGUGGAGGAUAAAAAAAAAAAAAAAGGGAGGGAUUUGGAGGGUUUAGCAACUACAAUUUUCAUUCAUAAAGUGAGAGAGUAAUAGGAUGAUGGCGCAGCAUGACUGAUGUACAGAGGAGACUCACGUUUAGGAUUUCAUGUUGCUUUUGCAGUUCGUCACCUCCGACCACACUGUGGAGUGGAACAUUGUGUGCCGUUACACUUGUGACAUGAACCAAGUUCUCCUGUAGCCUAAACCAUGGCCCCUGCCACCAGCGUGUGACAGGGGGUAAAUUGCCACCUCCAGAGGAACCAGUGUCCCCUAAUACUACCCUGCAUGGUCUGCUUCCAAAGUCCAAAGAAGUGGGACCCCAGGAGCAUCAAGAUGCCAGGUCUGUUCCCUUUGGGAGCAGAAGCUGACCAAGCUCUUUCAAGAAACCUGGGUCCAAGUGCAUAGGUCCUCAUGCUAGGAAGCCUGGGCUUUGGGUUGAGGUUUGGCUCUACCACUCCUAAACGGUCCAGUCUUCAUGCAUAUGAAUCCACACAUCUUUAGCUUGUGGCGAAAUUCCCUGUUAUAGAAUUGCUGUGAAGACUAAAUGAAAUAAUACAUAAGCAAUGUCAUGCUUCAACAUUAGUUACUGGUCAAUACUUUUAUUAUUAUCAUCAUUUAGUACUUACUUUGUAAGUAGCAAAUCCCUUUAGUACUCUGGCAUAUUGUGACUGAAACAGUAUCCAUGUGGAGGAAGCUGUCAGGGUCUCCUGGGGCUGGGUUACAAGACUUCUCAUGAGCCUAGUCAUAGCCUUUACCCUGCGUUGUUCGUUUAUUCCUUUUUAGCCUCCAUCUGCAGCUGCUUACUCAGAAAGAUCUAAGUCUGACUCUUUUCCUGUCAAUGGAUCUCUCUCUUUUCUUCAGGAAAGAACUUAGAGGCUGACUUUGGAGAUUUAUGAAUUUUUUUUAAACUUUUUUGAUAUUUAGUAAAAUCCUAACACCCUCUUUUUUUCUUUUUUCUUUUUUUUUUACUCCAGAUUCAGUUUAUCAAAUACUGCUUAUACAAAAGCAUUUUCAUAGUUAAUUGCAGUUGACAAUUUCAUCAAGAAUGGCAAGAUCCCUAAGGUUUCUGGUGUGCUUCAGGGUCUUCGCUGGUGACCCAGUGGUAAAAGAAUCUGCCUGCAAUACAGGACAUUCGGGUUGGAUCCCUGGGUCAGGAAGAUCCCCCUAGAGAAUGAAAUGACAACCUACUCCAGUAUUCUCUCCUGGGAAAUCUCCUGGACAGAGAGAAACCUGGCUGUCUACCAACCGUGGGGUUGCAAAGAGUCAGACAGAACUUAAUGAUUAAACCACCACCACCAGGGGGAUCAGAAAGGCAGAAAUAAAUUCCCUAAGUAAUGUAUACCAUGUCUACAUCAAGAACAGUCUAUGGAGUAAAGAAAACUAUUUGUUGCUUAAAUUAUAUCAUUGCAUUUCUGGUGGAAGUUUUAAAUCGAAAGCAAGCUAUAACUAUGUAAAAAAUCCAUGAAUUUAUUAAUGAAUCUUACCUGCUUGGUAAACCAUCCAAAUGUCUAAUCUCUUAAAAACGAAAGCAGUUUACACUCUUUUACUGUGACUAUUUAGGAAAGCCUAUGUAUUUUAAGUCUAAAUAUUCUUUACUUAAGAUCACAAUGUCCCUGAUUGAGAUUUUUUUUGUACCUUCAUCUGUUUAUUUGACUUCUCUCUUCAUCCAAAUGGUCAGAACAAGGACAGAUUAAAACCUUUAGAAAACCUUGCUGGGCAUUCAAGAGGAUGUCCAUCUCUUCAUCUCCUACCUAAAGGCGGAUUCUUUACCAGCUGAGCCACAUGAGACGCCCAAGAAUAGUAGCCUACCCCUUCUCCAGUGGAUCUUCCUGACCCAGGAAUUGCAGGUGGAUUCUUUACCAACUGAACUAUGAGGGUUCUAUCUUGGUGUCAGAAUUAUUGCCUUCCUCACGUUGUGUUCUAGCUGUUGAAUAAAGGUAGAACUGUAAAACUCUAUGUUUUUGAAGUGCUGCGAAGUUGAAGAACUUCUAGAGCUUGUCAAAUGCAGCUUCUGCCUGAGUUGCUGAAUUCUUGUAGGAUAUUAAGAGAGAGCAGUGAGGACUUGAAGAGGGAAGAAUUCUUUGGGGACCUCAACAUCAUAGGCUCCCCCAUUUUGAACUGAAACUUACCCUUACAAUCAUCCAAUGCAGAUUUUGCUGAUUGACUAUAUGUAGUAUAUUGCUAUUGACUAAAGAAACAAACAUAUACUUUGUUUCUUUCCUUGUCUGCUGCUAAGUCGCUUCAGUCCUGUCCGACUCUGCAACCCCAUAGACGGAAGCCCACCAGGCUCCCCUGUUCCCGGGAUUCUCCAGGCAAGAACACUGCAGUGGGUUGCCAUUUCCUUCUCCAAUGCAUGAAAGUGA
ensembl:lncRNA